rnacentral:lncRNA from 1 species
AAGAAGAAGAAGAAGAGAAAAGAGAAAUAUAUAUAUAUAUAUAUAAUAAAAAGGAUACGCAAGCCUCAAGCCAAGCUCUAGUACCAAAUGAUGAAAAUCAUCAACUUAGCAACCAUACACCCCGAUAAUUAAAGAGCUAUGAUACAUAUGGAAUACAAAUUGACCCCCUCAAACGAAUUGAAACAAGACAGAUCAUUUAAGAUUGAAGUUACGGAAACUAUUC